CCAGCAUACACACAUUCUCCGCCCCUAUAUUUCAAUUCAUCACUCUGUUCUUUUUUUUUUCAAAAUAAAAAUAAAAAUUCAAACAUGCCUUUACUUCCUUGUUCAUACAAUCCAUAUCUAUUUUGUUACUUUUCUUCUCAUAUCACAUACCGCAACCAUUAACCAUGUUUCUCUCUCAUUUUAAGGAGUCUAUACUUCAUAUCAUGGGACACAAUCAAGAAGAAGAACUUGAUAUAAAAAGGGGCAAUAUUCUUAUUCUCUUUAAACACGCUAAACACCAUUUUCAUAAAUACAUUCCUACACAUAAACCUCUCUAACAACAAAGCUCUAU
rnacentral:lncRNA from 1 species